GUGAAUCAUCAAAUUUUUGAACGCAAAUUGCACUCCCUGGUAUGCCUGGGAGUAUGCCUGUUUGAGGGUCGUUAGAAUAAAAAAUCGAGGCGUCGCUCUUUUGUUUAAGGUUGAUCGCGUCCAUAAUAAUUUCUUUAACUUACCUCAGACAGGUAAUAGUACCCGCUGAACUUAAGCAUAUCAAUAAGCGGAUGA
rnacentral:misc_RNA from 1 species